GACGGGAAGAGUGAAGAAGCUGCUUCCGUAUCUAAGGUCUCGCCUUGGCGCUGAUUGCAAUAUUCGGAAAACCGUCCCUUUCAGAUUUUUGGCCAAAUAUGGACUCAAUGGAGGGAUGAUCUUGCAAGAGAAAUAUAUGAUGAGUGGAGAGGAAGGAGGGCUUGAAAAUUGGUUAACAUGGUAGUUGUUGUAAUUGUCUUUUAGAUGUGGACUCAAUGUAGUUGUUGUAAUUGGCUUGAAAAUUCGUAACAUCAAGACUAUUGAGAUGUUGGUUAUUGUAAUAUGGUAAUUGGGAGUUAUCUAGAUAUUAUGGCUUAUUUGAUAUGUUUAUUUGUGUUACUAAAUUUUAAUAAAUUUUAAAAUUAGGGUGUA